ACAGUGGACGCGAGCAUCUGUGGCCAAGUUUUUAAGGGCGCACGGUGGAUGCCUUGGCACCAGGAACCGAUGAAGGACGUGGGAGGCCGCGAUAGUCCCCGGGGAGUCGUCAACCAGGCUUUGAUCCGGGGGUUUCCGAAUGGGGAAACCCGGCAGUCGUCAUGGGCUGUCACCCACUGCUGAACACAUAGGCAGUGUGGAGGGAACGCGGGGAAGUGAAACAUCUCAGUACCCGCAGGAAGAGAAAACAACCGUGAUUCCGGGAGUAGUGGCGAGCGAAACUGGAUGAGGCCAAACCUACGACGUGUGAGACCCGGCAGGGGUUGCGUCGUGGGGGUUGUGGGAUCUCUCUUCCACGGUCUGCCGGCCGUGGGACGAGUCAGAAACCGUUGAUGUAGGCGAAGGACAUGCGAAAGGUCCGGCGUAGAGGGUAAGACCCCCGUAGUCGAAACGUCAGCGGCUCGUUUGAGAGACACCCAAGUAGCACGGGGCCCGAGAAAUCCCGUGUGAAUCUGGCGGGACCACCCGCUAAGCCUAAAUAUUCCCUGGUGACCGAUAGCGGAUAGUACCGUGAGGGAAUGGUGAAAAGUACCCCGGGAGGGGAGUGAAAUAGUACCUGAAACCGUGUGCCUACAAGCCGUGGGAGCGUCGGAAACGAGCUGGC
rnacentral:rRNA from 1 species